UCAAAAUCGAUGACGAGAAGAGUAGCUUGUAAAUCUUGUACUUUAGAGAGCCGGCGGUUGGUGAAAGCCGGUAACAGGACACAAGUGAAAAUCAUCUCCGAGAUGCAAGGCUGAAAAAAAGAAAAGCGGCAACGACCGUUUAUCUGAGUAAGCCUUUGCCGGACUGCCCACCGUUAAGUAAGGGACACGUAUGAUAGUACGUUGAUCGAGAGCCGCAUUGUUUUUUAGUAUGCGGAAUUAGGGUGGUAACGCGAGCAUGCUCGUCCCUUCU
rnacentral:ncRNA from 1 species